rnacentral:rRNA from 1 species
CUUAACCUCGGAAUUGCAGUCGAUACUGCUGUGACUCGAGUCCGGUAGGGGAGAAUGGAAUUCUCGGUGUAGCGGUGAAAUGCGCAGAUAUCGAGAGGAACACCAGUAGCGAAGGCGGUUCUCUGGGCCGGCACUGACGCUGAGGAGCGAAAGCGUGGGAAGCAAACAGGAUUAGAUACCCUGGUAGUCCACGCCGUAAACGUUGGAUACUAGGUGUGGCGGUUGUACCAACGACUGCCGUGCCGAAGCUAACGCAUUAAGUAUCCCGCCUGGGGAGUACGGCCGCAAGGCUAAAACUCAAAGGAGUUGACGGGUCCCCGCACAAGCGGCGGAGCAUGCGGCUUAAUUCGAUGCAACCCGAAGAACCUUACCUGGGUUUGACAUCACGGGAAAAACUGUANAAAUACAGUGUCCGUAAGGGCNC